rnacentral:rRNA from 1 species
UUAAAUUGAAGAGUUUGAUCAUGGCUCAGAUUGAACGCUGGCGGCAGGCCUAACACAUGCAAGUCGAACGGUAACAGGAAACAGCUUGCUGAUUCACUGACGA